GACGAACGCUGGCGGCGUGCUUAACACAUGCAAGUCGAACGGAAAGGCCCUGCUUUUGUGGGGUGCUCGAGUGGCGAACGGGUGAGUAACACGUGAGUAACCUGCCCUUGACUUUGGGAUAACUUCAGGAAACUGGGGCUAAUACCGGAUAGGAGCUCCUGCUGCAUGGUGGGGGUUGGAAAGUUUCGGCGGUUGGGGAUGGACUCGCGGCUUAUCAGCUUGUUGGUGGGGUAGUGGCUUACCAAGGCUUUGACGGGUAGCCGGCCUGAGAGGGUGACCGGCCACAUUGGGACUGAGAUACGGCCCAGACUCCUACGGGAGGCAGCAGUGGGGAAUAUUGCACAAUGGGCGGAAGCCUGAUGCAACAACGCCGCGUGCGGGAUGACGGCCUUCGGGUUGUAAACCGCUUUCGCCUGUGACGAAGCGUGAGUGACGGUAAUGGGUAAAGAAGCACCGGCUAACUACGUG
rnacentral:rRNA from 1 species